GCAUAUCAAUAAGCGGAGGAAAAGAAACUAACAAGGAUUCCCCUAGUAACGGCGAGUGAAGCGGGAAGAGCUCAAAUUUGAAAUCUGGCAGUCUUCGAUUGUCCGAGUUGUAAUCUAUAGAGGCGUUUUCCGUGCCGGACCGUGUCCAAGUCUCCUGGAAAGGAGUAUCAAAGAGGGUGAUAAUCCCGUACUUAACACGACCACCGGUGCUCUGUGAUACGUCUUCUACGAGUCGAGUUGUUUGGGAAUGCAGCUCAAAAUGGGUGGUGAAUUCCAUCUAAAGCUAAAUAUUGGCGAGAGACCGAUAGCGAACAAGUACCGUGAGGGAAAGAUGAAAAGCACUUUGGAAAGAGAGUUAAACAGUACGUGAAAUUGUUGAAAGGGAAACGAUUGAAGUCAGUCGUGUUCUUUGGAUUCAGCCAGUUCUGCUGGUCUACUUCCUUGGAACGGGUCAACAUCAGUUUUGUCCGGUGGAUAAAGGUAGUAGGAAUGUGACUUCUCCGGAAGUGUUAUAGCCUAUUAUCACAUACACUGGGUGAGACUGAGGACUGCAGCUCGCCUUUAUGGCCGGUCUUCGGACACGUUCGAGCUUAGGAUGUUGACAUAAUGGCUUUAAACGACCCGUCUUGAAACACGGACC
rnacentral:rRNA from 1 species